GGCAUUUUGAAUCCGUGCUGAGAUUUCGUCAGACACCAACCCAUUAAGCUGAUCAGACUUCCAAGAUAAGUGAAGUU
rnacentral:pre_miRNA from 1 species